GUGGGCGUAGCUCAAUGGCAGAGCGCGAGCUUGUGGAGCUUGAGGUUGCGGGUUCAAUCCCCGUCGCCCACCCCA
rnacentral:tRNA from 2 species